CCUACGGGGGGCAGCAGUGGGGAAUAUUGGACAAUGGGCGAAAGCCUGAUCCAGCCAUGCCGCGUGUGUGAAGAAGGCCUUCGGGUUGUAAAGCACUUUCAGUGGGGAAGAAAGCCUUGGGGCUAAUACCCUCGAGGAAGGACAUCACCCACAGAAGAAGCACCGGCUAACUCCGUGCCAGCAGCCGCGGUAAUACGGAGGGUGCGAGCGUUAAUCGGAAUUACUGGGCGUAAAGCGCGCGUAGGCGGUCUGAUAAGCCGGUUGUGAAAGCCCCGGGCUCAACCUGGGAACGGCAUCCGGAACUGUCAGGCUAGAGUGCAGGAGAGGAAGGUAGAAUUCCCGGUGUAGCGGUGAAAUGCGUAGAGAUCGGGAGGAAUACCAGUGGCGAAGGCGGCCUUCUGGUCUGACACUGACGCUGAGGUGCGAAAGCGUGGGUAGCAAACAGGAUUAGAUACCCCUGUAGUC
rnacentral:rRNA from 1 species